AGCGGCGGACGGGUGAGUAACGCGUACGAAUCUACCUGGUACUGGGGGACAACUCGGGGAAACUCGAGCUAAUACCGCAUACGCCCUAAGGGGGAAAGCGGGGGACCUUCGGGCCUCGCGCUAUCAGAUGAGCCUGCGUUGGAUUAGCUAGUUGGUGGGGUAAUGGCCUACCAAAGCGACGAUCCAUAGCUGGUCUGAGAGGAUGAUCAGCCACACCGGGACUGAGACACGGCCCGGACUCCUACGGGAGGCAGCAGUGGGGAAUAUUGCGCAAUGGGCGAAAGCCUGACGCAGCCAUGCCGCGUGUGUGAAGAAGGCCUUCGGGUUGUAAAGCACUUUCAAUUGGGAGGAAAGGUUCACGGCUAAUACCCGUGAGCCGUGACGUUACCUUUAGAAGAAGCACCGGCUAACUCCGUGCCAGCAGCCGCGGUAAUACGGAGGGUGCAAGCGUUAAUCGGAAUUACUGGGCGUAAAGCGCGCGUAGGUGGUCUGUUAAGUCGGAUGUGAAAGCCCUGGGCUCAACCUGGGAACUGCAUCCGAUACUGGCAGACUAGCGUGCGGGAGAGGGAGGUAGAAUUCCAU
rnacentral:rRNA from 1 species